rnacentral:rRNA from 1 species
UACCAGCACCCCGAGUGGUCGGGACGAUUAUCGGGCCUAAAGCAUCCGUAGCCGGUUCUACAAGUCUUCCGUUAAAUCCACCUGCUUAACAGAUGGGCUGCGGAGGAUACUAUAGAGCUAGGAGGCGGGAGAGGCAAGCGGUACUUAGUGGGUAGGGGUAAAAUCCGUUGAUCCAUUGAAGACCACCAGUGGCGAAGGCGGCUUGCCAGAACGCACUCGACGGUGAGGGAUGAAAGCUGGGGGAGCAAACCGG